CAUAGAUGAACAACGGUAUUAAGGGUUACAAUUUUUCGAGUUUAUCUGCAAGUUCAGUUACAUUCUGUUACGAAGUCUAGCGUGAUGCCAUUUUGUGUUUGUUUGCAAGUAUGGAGCUGUGGAAUUUGUUUAUCUGUCAUGUUGAGAUUCCUUUGGUGUUUGUGGAAGACACCAUCAAACUAACAUCUCGGAGGUACAUAUCCUAGCGAAUGGUAAAUUAUUCAUGCUUUAGAGCUUAAAAUGCAUUCAUUUAAAAGUUAACCCGUGCGAUGAACAUUACUACCAUACUUAAUUCAUACUUCGCUUAUCUCCUUUGGUGGACUUCGAAUUUGUUUACAUCUACUUAGCACUGCUGUAGUAGUUAACAUGUGAAAAUCAUUCUUAAUGAAUCCAGGAGUUGAAUUUGUAGAAGACCCAAAUUUAUUUGCUGCCAAAGACAUGAACCUCUUUUGUAGUUUACAAUUUUUGUUGGUUUUGAGAUUUGUCUCCAGUAGUUGGAACCAACAGAUGUUAAUUCUUAUAAGAUUGUAAGUAUGCAGAGUGAGUUCCUUAGAAGUUGAAUUCAUUGAAGACGGAAAUUGAUCUGGUGUUUACGGUGAUGAGGUCAUUGCAUUUUUUGUUAACAUUCUGUUCUGCAACAAAGAGAAGAAAAACAUUGAAUUUGUACUCAACUUCAAAAAAUGUUGCACCUGCCCGUGGGAAAAAAAGGGCACAAAAAGCAGUAGAUAACAAGAAAAUCGAAUUUGAAUCAACCUUUCCCUAAAGAGUAAAUUUUAACUGUAAGAAUUGCACCCCUUAAAGAUGUUGCACGAAGUGGUUGUCUACAUGGAGUGACCAUAAAAUGAAGGUUCAAGGUUGCAAAGGAAUUGAAGGCCGACAAGCUAGGUUGUGGGAGAGUUGAGGAAUGGGGACAUUUGUGGUGAGAUUGAGGUGCUUUGUUAAAUGCAACGUCUCUUCCAAGUGCACGCUAAAAGAUUCAAUCUGUUACUAUCUCCGUCCCCAAUAAAUAUAUAGGCGGAGUUGUAAAAAUUUGUAGUCUCAUUAGAUAGGCGGACUUUCAAUUUUAAGAUGGGUUUUUCCACAUAUUAUCCUUAUUUAUUAUAGGUAGUUAUUAUUAUAAUUAAGUUAAUGUUUCUAAUAUUGGAAAUUGUACAAAGGCUGAAACAAGAAAGAU